GACGAACGCUGGCGGCGUGCUUAACACAUGCAAGUCGAACGGAAAGGCCCUGCUUUUGCGCGGUGCUCGUGCGGCGAACGGGUGUGUAUAACGUGAGUAUCAUGCACUUGACUUUGGGAUAACUUCAGGGAACUGGGGCUCAUACAGGAUAGGAGCUACUGCUGCAUGGUGGGGGUUGGUAAGUUUCGGUGGUUGGGGCUGGACUCGCGGCUUAUCAGCUUGUUGGUGAGGUAGUGGAUUUCCAAGGCUUUGACGGAUAGCCGGCGUUAGAGGGUGACCGGCCACAUGGGGACUGAGGGAGGGCCCAGACGCGUACGUGACGCAACAGUGGGGAGCAUGACGCAACGGGGCGAAGCGAGAGGCAACGACGCUGCGUGCGGGAUGACGUCUUUCGAGUGGUAAACCAAUGUGGCCGGUAACGAAGCGUGAGUGACGGUAAUUGGUAAAGAAGCACCGGCUAACUACGUG
rnacentral:rRNA from 1 species